rnacentral:rRNA from 1 species
UGGGGAAUUUUGGACAAUGGGCGAAAGCCUGAUCCAGCAAUGCCGCGUGUGUGAAGAAGGCCUUCGGGUUGUAAAGCACUUUUGUCCGGAAAGAAAUCCUUGGCUCUAAUACAGUCGGGGGAUGACGGUACCGGAAGAAUAAGCACCGGCUAACUACGUGCCAGCAGCCGCGGUAAUACGUAGGGUGCAAGCGUUAAUCGGAAUUACUGGACGUAAAGCGUGCGCAGGCGGUUUGCUAAGACCGAUGUGAAAUCCCAGGGCUCAACCUGGGAACUGCAUUGGUGACUGGCAGGCUAGAGUAUGGCAGAGGGGGGUAGAAUUCCACGUGUAGCAGUGAAAUGCGUAGAGAUGUGGAGGAAUACCGAUGGCGAAGGCAGCCCCCUGGGCCAAUACUGACGCUCAUGCACGAAAGCGUGGGGAGCAAACAGGAUUAGAUACCCUGGUAGUCCACGCCCUAAACGAUGUCAACUAGUUGUUGGGGAUUCAUUUNAUUAGUAACGUAGCUAACGCGUGAAGUUGACCGCCUGGGGAGUACGGUCGCAAGAUUAAAACUCAAAUGAAUUGACGGGGUCAUAGCUGUUUCC